UACGAAGGGGGCGAGCGUUGUUCGGAUUUACUGGGCGUAAAGGGCGCGCAGGCGGCUCAUUUUGUCAGGCGUGAAAGCCCCGGGCUUAACCUGGGAGGUGCGUUUGAUACGGAUGGGCUAGAGUUCGGGAGAGGAGAGUGGAAUUCCCAGUGUAGAGGUGAAAUUCGUAGAUAUUGGGAAGAACACCGGUGGCGAAGGCGGCUCUCUGGACCGAGACUGACGCUGAGGCGCGAAAGCGUGGGGAGCGAACAGG
rnacentral:rRNA from 1 species